GUGACUUUUCCACUUCUCGAUUCAAGGUAACCUAAACGAUUAAGCAAAAUGAUUGUUUUAGUAGAACUUUUUCUCGGGGAUGUCAGAAUUAAUACAAAAUCUCCUUCAAUUGAAAAUAAAGUAUUAAUCAGCCCCGUCAAUGUCAGAACGAGUUUGAAUUUUGUACAAUGUCACCGAAACGAAUUUGCAUUUAUUUGAAUAUAUCAUUGCAUUUGAAAAUAUAUGUUGUACACCACUUUGAAUUUCAAAAAUAUUAUAUUUAUUCAUAGUGAUAAGGGCAAUACACCAUAUUAAAUAUCAUAAAUAAUUAUAUUUAUUGAUAUAGUGUUUAGAUAACCUGCCUCGAUUCAAGGUAACCUAAACG
rnacentral:lncRNA from 1 species